rnacentral:tRNA from 1 species
AGUUUUUAUAGUUUAAUUUAAAACUUUGGUCUUGUAAACCAAAUAUGAAAUCUAUUUCUAAAAACUU